GACGUAGGGCGCAAGCGUUGUCCGGAAUUAUUGGGCGUAAAGAGCUCGUAGGCGGCUUGUUGCGUCGACUGUGAAAACCCGUGGCUCAACCAUGUGGUCUGCAGUCGAUACGGGCAGGCUAGAAUUCGGUAGGGGAGACUGGAAUUCCUGGUGUAGCGGUGAGAUGCGCAGAUAUCAGGAGGAACACCGGUGGCGAAGGCGGGACUCUGGGCCGAUACUGACGCUGAGGAGCGAAAGCGUGGGGAGCAAACAGG
rnacentral:rRNA from 1 species